UUAAUUGGUUUUGAAAUUAGUAGAGCUGACAUUACGCUUUCCAAGAGAUUGCAAGUUCUUCUGUUGUACGAUAUUUAUGAAGGGUAUCUACAAACAGCGAAAAAAUAUUCUGUGUUCAUUUAUAAGUUGACAAAAGAUUAUACGGUGAAACCUAAGAAUGCAUUCCCUUCUUACAAUGCAGCAGAUGAUGCAGUAAGAGAAGCAAUCAACCUUUGCAAAUUCUCAAACGAAAAUAUUUUGGAAAUAUUUGGUAUGUACAGUACAACAAGCCCUCUCGUAAGGGUCACAGAAUUUGUGACGUGCACUCUGCUUCAGCAUUUGAGGAAAGGUAGUGCCAAAUUAUCGGUUCAAGAGAUAAAUGACAUGGUAAUAAAUAUAACAAGCGCAAUGGAGUGCCUUCACGAAAGUAGAUAUAUUCAUAGGGAUCUUUGUGCAUCAAACAUUUUGUCGGCGAACGAAACAAAUUAAAAGUGGGUGGACUUCACUUUGCAGAGUAUUUACAUCAGGAUCCGAUGAUUAUGAGUAAAUGUGAGAAUGUUCCUUUACAAUAUCGCUGGUGUGCCCCGGAAAUUUUUUUAAAUAUCGAGUAUGGAUCACAAUCUGAUGUGUGGUCUUUUGGGAUUGUCCUGUUUGAGAUCGUUUCGAAAGGCGAAGUUCCAUAUAAAGAUUUUGAUGAGACAGAAAUUAAAGAAAAGUAGGAAAAGGAUACCGCAUUCCUCGACCAGAAAACUGUACCGACUUUCAUCACGAAAUGAUGGGACUCUGCUUGAACAUGGAUCACACUAGAAGACCAACUUUUAAGGCUUUGAAAAAAAUAUUCACAAAUCAAGGAUUCAGUAGAUCAUUUAAAAGGAAAGAAAUACAGAAACUUCUUAAAUCUGAUGGGUUCAGUGACUUUUUGUCAUAAUUUUCAAAU